UCCGUAUCAACCUGCAUCACAAUAUAACGCCCCUCCGCCUCCGGGAUACAAUGUCUAUCCACCGCCUCAAGUAUACCCACCUCAAGGAAGCGGAGGCUAUCCUCCGCCACAAGGAUACCCACCUCCACCGCCUCCCGGAUAUGGUGGCCAACCAGGCUACUAUCCUUACCAACAACCUCCGCCUCCCCAUCCCCAAGAUCACAAAGGGGAUAGCGAUGAUGGAUGUAUUAGUGCAUGGUGAGAUAUAUUAUCAGCUUUAUUUUUAAAUCGAUAAUCUCAAACAACAAACAAGUUUAUGAAAAAAAAAACCUAAAUUGAUUUCCCCCAAAUUAUAACACACAUAAAAAUCUAAAUCCAUAGAACAUUAGCCGAACCGAUCACAAUAAUAAUAUUUUUUUUGUUUUUUUGUUUGCAGUUUGGCUGCACUUUGUUGCUGCUGCCUUUUGGAUUUUUUUCUUUGACGGAAAAUUUGAAAAAUUACCGAGUGUAAUUUAUAGAGAAAUCAAGAUUUGAGAUUUUGUUUUUUUUAUCUGGGUGGAAUUCAUGUGAGAUUUUACUAUUUGAAAAUUAAAUAAAAAAUUACACGACUAUUUAAUUUUUAUCCAAACCAUUUAAUAUUAAAUAGGACAUAUAUCGACUAAUAAAUGAAUUGA
rnacentral:lncRNA from 1 species